rnacentral:rRNA from 1 species
UACUCCUACGGGAGGCAGCAGUGGGGAAUAUUGGACAAUGGGCGCAAGCCUGAUCCAGCCAUACCGCGUGGGUGAAGAAGGCCUUCGGGUUGUAAAGCCCUUUUGUUGGGAAAGAAAUCCAGCUGGCUAAUACCCGGUUGGGAUGACGGUACCCAAAGAAUAAGCACCGGCUAACUUCGUGCCAGCAGCCGCGGUAAUACGAAGGGUGCAAGCGUUACUCGGAAUUACUGGGCGUAAAGCGUGCGUAGGUGGUCGUUUAAGUCCGUUGUGAAAGCCCUGGGCUCAACCUGGGAACUGCAGUGGAUACUGGACGACUAGAGUGUGGUAGAGGGUAGCGGAAUUCCUGGUGUAGCAGUGAAAUGCGUAGAGAUCAGGAGGAACAUCCAUGGCGAAGGCAGCUACCUGGACCAACACUGACACUGAGGCACGAAAGCGUGGGGAGCAAACAGGAUUAGAUACCCUGGUAGUCCACGCCCUAAACGAUGCGAACUGGAUGUUGGGUGCAAUUUGGCACGCAGUAUCGAAGCUAACGCGUUAAGUUCGCCGCCUGGGGAGUACGGUCGCAAGACUGAAACUCAAAGGAAUUGACGGA